GAAUGCGUCGUGCCAAAGGUCGUCCUUGUGGCGUGCCUGGGUGUGCGCUUCCUAGCUUCGGGGUUACAGGGUGCCCAGUCACAUGGGUUCUCUCCCGAUCAUUUACUUUGAAAAAAUUAGAGUGUUCAAAGCAGGCGUAACCUUGCCAUUGAAUAUUACAGCAUGGGAUAAUAGAAUAUGACGUUGGUCUUAUUUUGUUGGUUUCUAAGGCUGAUGUA
rnacentral:rRNA from 1 species